GUAGGUGAACCUGCGGAAGGAUCAUUACAGUAUGAUUAGAGGGGUUGAGCUGGCCUUUGGGCAUUGUGCUUACCUCUCGACUUCAAUCCACAUACACCUGUGAACCCAUGGCUCGUCAGUCUCCCAGUCCUUUAUUGGGCUGCGUUUCCGGUUUAUCUGGAAUAUUGGGGGCUGACUUGUCAUCACUUUUAUAAUUAAUACCAGU
rnacentral:misc_RNA from 1 species